CGCGAGAGAAGCGGCGGCUGGGCCCUGCAGGCGGAGGAAGUGGAAGAAGUCGCGGGAGGGUAGGGGACCGCGGAACUUCUGGUUGCUAUGACGACGGCAAAGCCCUGGAUUCCUGUCUCCUGCGCAGAGCAGAGGCUGCAAACAAAUGAAAAGAGGCUUGCUCAUGACUUGGAAGCGGUGGGCUGAGGCCUCCCAAGACCAUCUGGCUUGUUCCAUUGCCAGCCAGAGUGGAGGCGACAUUCACACGAACCCAGGAGCUGCAGGGGCGCGUGAGCUACAGCUGCCUUGUGGCAUCCAAGGAGUGCGCAGUGAGAUUCCGCAGGAGAAAUCACGCUUUGCAUGUUCUUGAGUACAAGAAACAUGUGUAAUGAGGGUUUUUGUUUGCGGGCAUGCCAAGGAGAACGACUGGAAUAUUAAAGUCAUCACAGCCUUUAUUUAAGGGAAAAGAGGACAAGAAUGAAUAUGCUGAUAGUUCAGAGAUAUUUAGGACCUUCAGCAGCUC
rnacentral:lncRNA from 1 species